UGUUCCACAUGUGACGGAAUCAAAUGUUUGUAAACAUGCGUCAAACGCAUGUGAUUUUGGUGACGGGAAAUUGCGUUUUGACGCAUGGGCCAAUGGGAAAACGGGGGUGUGUGAGGGGGCGGAGUUUGAAUGUGGCGCUGUGGAAAAUUCUCUACCUUCGUCUACAAGGUGCGUGAUUGAGAGACCGAGACUGGGACAUGGAAAUCGGAUGAAAGGCAAGUUUUGCCGCAUACACCAUGGCCACGGCAAAAGAACCAUCAAAAACAACGGCGUUUGAGGCUGUUAAGGAAAUGUCUCUAUCAUUAUUUGGACUUGGUUUUAAUGCAUGCGAUAGCUGAAUAAUAGUCAAAGAUUAUCUUUCAACAAUAUUCAUCUCUCAGAACAAGUUCCUCUGUGACGACAAGAAAGAAGAGUUUCUAGUGAGUGUGAGGUGAAGAGUUUCAUAGAAGACCGUGUCAGGCAGAGGUCGCACAACCACCAGAAGGUAAGUGCACAACACAUACAUGUAGCAAAGGCAAAUAGCCAGUGAAUGUUUGUUACAUCCAAACAUAUUUAAGGAUGUGUAAUAUUAUGGAAAUAUUACGUAGGCUUAUACUAAGUUGGAUUGGUUCAUACUUCUUAACUGGCCUCGUAGGAUCUUCUGCUGUUUUAAAUAUUGUGUAUUUUACAACACAAUUGUGUAUUAACCACACAAUAGUACACACUGUUGUUAGAUAAUAUAACUAUAACUACUUUGACAACAUAAUCAGUGUUCUACAAAGACAAGAGUAGGAAACAAGAAACGUAGAAUACGGAAGUCCUUAUGUGUGGUGAACAAGCUUAACAUAAAAUCGAACAAGGAACCAAAUUGAUAGGUGACAUGAAACUGAUGAUGUUCACCACAUCCUGUCUGGGCUGUUGACAUGUGCUUGCUACGGUAAUCAUGUGUUUUAGAUCGUCCAUACGUGGUGUGGAAUGCAACAGAAUAUCACUGAUAUAAUAUAAAGGUGCAAUGAAUAUUUUUUGUUGACAAAAAAUAUGAAUACUUCUGGUUUUAUAACAGAAGAGCAUGAUAAAUAAACAGUGUUACCCAAUAUUACUGUACGGUUUACACACUGUUUUAUGAUGUUUUAACCUUUUCGAUGUAUUUGUUUAUAUACUUGGGCCUUCUACAUUGUAUCAACAUACAGAGAAGAGAGAAAAUCAGUUGCCUACUCUUGUUCUUCAGAUUAAUAUAAUUCAUAUCUGGCUAGAGGCAUCUCAAAAAAAAAAAAAAAACACUGUACUCACCUUUAAAUAAGUCUCUACUGUAUAUUGAUCAUAAUCAUAUUUGUGUGUUUUGAUUUUGAAAUAUGAAAGUGAACUAUUUAUCUGUGCUCAUGUAACCUUGAAUUUUCAAGAUUAUGGAAACAAACUGUCCUAGUCAUCCUCCAACAUGGGAUUCAUGAGAUGAUUUUUUGUUGCAUCAUCUCUGUCUGAACCACAAAGGCUAGGGUCACACUGCAAGUCUUAAUGCUAAAUUAGAUUUUUUUGCGCAAAUCCUAUUUUUGGUGUGGCUGUUCACAUUGUUUUUAUUAAACAUGGCCAAUGCCAGGCUCUCAGUGUGAGUGGUAACAGUCCUGAACUGACCCACAUGCACAAAAUAACAACAAACAAGCAUACACACAGCACGCAGCUAGCAUGAAGAACUGACUGACUGCCUUUGUAGUUCUCUUCCUUUUCCACUGUGUGAUGCCAUAACCCACACCAGAGAGCAUUCUCCCAACUCCGCUGCUGCUCCAGUGAAAUGUUUGGAAUAAUUUCCGCCAGCACAGAAUUCUGGCGAACGUUGAUCAAGAUUGACAUAAAAGUCACAGAAAUUCUAAUAUGACUGCUGCAUUAAAAAAAAUCAAACCUGUAUGUUAAUUAGGACCAAACAUCAACUGAUGAUAGAAUAGUCUAUGUUGUGUUGUGUCCUAUAGGAAUGAAACAGUCCAUUGCGGCAUCACAGGUUUUUAUAAACAUUGCCGUUUCUUAUGCCAUCGCUAAACUUAAUUAGGACCAAACAUGGAGGUGGGCCAAAUCAGAAAGGGAAAAGACAGAUUUCAUGUGUCACACUGUUUUGACAACAUCAAACAGUUCACAUCGUGUGAAAGAAAUGGGAUUUGGCCUGGUAGUGUGACCCUAAUACACCUGAGCAGCCUGUUUCAAGUCUUCCCCCCUCACCGUCUUUAUGUGUCAGUCAUUGUUGUUGUUGUUGUUGUGGGGGCUUGUUUGUGUGCUUUAUUGGGAGAGACGUGUCAUGUCAGGGUGGGAAGGUGGGUUGUGUUAGUGCGUCACACAGGCAGCAUGGCGGCUCCAGCGUGUCGUGACACAUGUGAGGGACGCCACAGGCUCCCGGUGCAGCUGGGGCUGGGCCUGGCCUGGGCUGGGCUGGGCUGGGCUGGGCGCUUGUGCUCUCCUGCGGGCGGGCAGAUUAAGCUUUAGGAAGUAGAACGCGGCGGAGGGAUGACACAGCUAAAAUUAACCAGGCUGCCUGUUGAAUGACGGCCAUAUAAAUAGCUCGCACACGAGAAGGACCAACAAGGCACUCUCGUUCCCUCUCUCUCUCUUCCUCUCUCUCUCCCUUCCUCCCUCCCUCUCUCUCUCUCUCUCUCCCACACCCGCUCCCUCUCUCUCAUGCGUCAUUAGCGUGAGAUUCUAGCAUGUGCGAGAGCGACUUAAUCGGGAAUGCCGUCGAGGUAAACAUGCCCCCAUUCACCCACUGGAGAGUGAAGAUAUAUUUACGUGGCAAAGAGCAGACACCGUGACUCACAUCCAGAAGGUUUUGGGGAUUUAAGGCUCACGGACACAAGUACCUCUGUCCAUGUCAACAACAGUGUUGUUAUCCUCCAGGGCAAUCCAACUGCUCCAAAACAGAAAAAAAAAGAAAUCAGAUCAGUGAUAAAUCUUCCCUUGAAAAUCCUACUGCCUGAAGACAGACAAAAAAACAAAACAAAAAUACCCCCAAGAAAUCCCACUGUCUAAAACAAGUCACUUAGGAAUUGCUUGUGCUGUUUGUGUGUGCAAUAACUUCAGUUGUCCACGUUGUUGGAGGACCACACACCUGAUUAGUGACCACCCUCCUGCCUAACGUGGCUCCAGAAACCUGCGCUGCUCUGUGAAACCUGGCGCCUUGAUGACUCACUCCAUGCUGUACCCUUUAUGCAGAGUUGACAGAGUGCCCAGGGCUUGGCCCAGACUGCCGUGUUCUUCCCUAAUGCCACCUGUGACCCAUUAGCAAACAUGCUUUGAUGUGCCAUAUUCCAUAUGUUCCCCAGCAGGUGAAGGGAGACGGCCUUAGAUGAAAGCUGAGUCUUUUAUCAAUAGACUUUCUUGGCUGAAAACCCAAGCUCCUACACACUUACCGUAAGCCCUUUGGAUGGGCCAGACGGACCUCCGUGUUUGGUAGAUCUCAGCUUGCUGCGGGGGAGCUGCUGAAUCGUAUUUUGAUAUCCAGGACCAGAUACAAGGGCAUACAUCUGGAAUGGGACUGCUUAUGUACGGUGGUGAAAAGAUAUUUAGUUUAGUUUCAUUCUAAUGGAUUCUUUUUUUUUUUAUCUCGCAUCUGUUGUAAUCUGAAAGGGUUCCACAUGUAUUGUAUCAUCCCUCAUUCAUUUUAGUUUUUAGUUUAAGAUGUGGCUUUACAGCACAGAUAUGUUUUUCUAAAGAUGUUAUCACUUUGAGCAGAAGGAAGCCAUGCAAAGUCUUCAGUGUCACCUUGCACUGUUUGGCUCCCCACGGUUUGUGCAGAUCCAAUUACCCCUUCACAUAUUCACUCAAUAGAUUCCUAUCGUCAAGAUUUCACCAAGCUACUUUGAUAUAGUCCAGGUUUAAGACCUGAUGAUCUGGAAGAUAAAUGCUAAUUUCACACACUUCAACACUGAACUGUGAUGGAAAA